UUGGAGCAUCAGCCAGACCGUGAUGGACCAAGCAGACUGAGCGGAGCCUAUCCUAAACAGCAAGUGUGCGCAGCUUGCAAAUCAGGGAGCCUGGUCAGAGUGUCCUGGAAUUCUGAAGAGAACCCACAGCCUUGAACUGCUUGCCUUAACAGGUCAGACCUGGAUUUUUGGUCAGAAAAAGGGAAAGCACGCCUUUGUUUCCUCUGCCCCCCACUUCUUUCAGGAGCAAUUGAUCUCCCCUGCAGUGAAGCAGACUCUUUUUGCAAGGAGGAGAAUGUCACGUUGUGACCCAUUCCCGGUAUGGCUCAGAGCUAGAAUGUAAUGCAACACGUUCUUCUCUUCUACUCCACAUUUUUAGUUCCCAGAUGUCAGCCAUCAACUCACAUGUAUUGGAUGGGACCAGUGGAACAAAUGCAGAACCUACAAGGGACACAGUGGAUGCUGCUCAAGUCACUCCCGAUUCAGAGCUUCCUCCUUCCACUGCCACCAGUACAACCUGCUUAUCUUCCCAGCAGGGGAAGGUUCCUCUCUGCCCUGUCUCCUCUAGCAAUGGCUGUGGGCCCCCUCAGGCUUCUCUGAAGCAGCAGCAGCCCCAGGCCUCAAAGAAGCAGCGCAUAAGCUCCACCUCCUCCGUCUGCACCAUCAGCAGUCAGAAGAGCUGCAAGUCAACGGCUUCUCAGAUUCAGGAGGUGGCCGGGGAUGAAGCCAAAAUGGGAAGUCUGUCCCAUAGGAUCCCACUUUCAUCUGGAAAGUGAUGAGAGAGCAGGACAAAACAACUUCAGGUGAACUUCAGAAGCUUCUCAUUCAGGAGCUCUGAUAACUUUUUCAAGGGCAAGAGGAUACUCCAGCAGAGGACUGAGGGGCAACUGUGAGGGAGGUCAGCAGCUUCAAAGUAGGAGGUGUGACUGAGCGAUCAAAGUUCCGCCCUUUUUAAUGUGUACUUUAAGCAUCAUGUUCAUGUAAAACAGGGCAAGGUUUUUAUCACCCAGUUAUACACUCCCCACCCCAAAAGGACCUUUAAAUCUGUCUUCUUCCACAGAAAUAGGUGCAUGGCUUUAUACAGAGCCCUCUCCUAAUUAGGAAGGACAGUUUCUCACCCAAAACAUAUCACAGAAGACAGCCCUACAAUUAGGCAGGGUGAGGCAGAUGCCUGAGAUGGCAAAGAACAGGUAGAUCUGUAUGGGCUGCCUGAACUCACUUUGCACUCUCUGAAAGCUCAGGUGCAGGAGAAGGCAUUAAAACCUGGUACCAUCUUGAAAUCAGAUUCAACAGCAGCUUGAUCUCUCCAUGGUAGCUAGUCAUGGUGGCUGCAUGUUAUUCUCAGUAACAACAUGGAAGGCUUUUCGGUACCAAUUCCUGGAAAACAGCUGGAGGAUGAGAGAAGGAUGAUUCCCUUCUAAGUUGCCUGAGGGAUUCAUGGAGGUCCUUGGUAAGCCAUCGUAGCAACUGGCCAUGGAGGAGUGGUGUGGAGAUUCCAUCUUGUCUUGGCUCAUGGUGGGAAACAUUUUGGACCAGCCUUGCCAUAUCAGCAUUCUCCAUCCUUGGGUAUACUGCUUAAAAUCCGAAAUGUGCAUUUUAUAAUCAUUUGGAAAAGCUCCAAGGCCAGUAUCAGAAACGAUUAACCGGGGGGCAUAAAACAGGAAAAGGAAAGCUUCACAAGGAGGUUUGGUUCCAUUCUGCCCACUGUUUCAUAACAGCACUAACAGGCAAAGAGCCCUUUAAACCCCUCCUGCCUUGGAGCUACCUGAUCUAGGCUGCAAAUAUCUGGAUGAUCACCAGAUGACAGCUACAAGGCUUAGGGUUCUUUGUAUCUCUUUGCUCUUUCCUGUGAUUGUGUGAUUUUUGCAGCCUGGAUCUCCAGGAUGACUAGCAAAACUGGCUUCCUUUACUGAGGGUAGAGAAAAAGCUCUUAAAUUGUUACUCAGCUGACAGUGAGAAGGGAUGGGGUUAAAGAAUACUGUGUACUAUCAGCACAAGGGAGCAUUUAAGGGUGCAGUUGUUCCACUUGUGGGCUUAAGUGGUGCCAUUCCAACUGGGUUGUGCCACGUGACUGCCCUGAAUAUGUAGAAUGGCUCUUACCUAUCCUCCCCUUUAUGCUUAAUGAACUUAAGUGCCAAAGACCAGACAUUCCUAAUGGUUUUUGGCCAGAGAUGCAAAAAUAGAGACAGGCAUAAACUAAAAAGAGGAUUCAGAACGUGUCCCUUAGCUGCAAUAUAGGGUGGCUUUCUCCUUAGGGCUCAUGAGAAAGAAGAGAUGUGCAGACAGACAGAUCAGAACCUUGAUUCCACAGUUGCUCUUUCCUUGUCCCAUGUGUUUGAAAUGGGCCUCCCUUUUUUCAUUUAUUUUUAUGGGGAGGAGAGAGAGGGAGGGAGGGAGAGAACCAAAUGUGGGCUGCAGAAAUCCAGGGAGCAGCAAAGAGACACUGAAUGCUCUAAUUCUUUGCUCCCAUCUUAUGAUUGUCUGGAUUUUUGUAACCUAGUGCUGAUGGUCCUAACAAAACUGGCCCAGGAAUGGGGUUUAGGUUUCAUGACAUCAAAGGUGCCAACCAGCUCAGUCAUUGUUGGCUUCAACUUAGCAUGCAAAGCAAGUAUCUUCAGAUGUUGACUUUGCCAAGAAAGACUGUUGUGCCCUCUGUGCCCUGGCCUGCCUCUUUUGUGAGUUCAUGACCUUCUGCUCCCUCCUCCUGGAAUGUGGGGCCUGCGGGGGCUGCCUAGAGGCUUGCUGCAGUGGGCAAGGAGGGGAGCCGCUAUCCGAAAGCUGCUGUGGCGAGGGGGGUGGUGGGAAUUGCCCCUGUGGGUUAGGCUGUGGGAUGCUGCAAGAUUGCUGUGGGUCCUCUGACUGCCUUGAGAUCUGCCUGGAAUGCUGUUCUAUCUGUUUCCCAGCCUAAAUGCCAUGUUCCUUUAACUUAUGCAGUGGCAGGCUACCAAGGUGCCUCUCUGUCCCUCCAAGAAUUCCUUCCAUGGCUUCAGAGUAAAAAGGUGGAUGCUUUGAACUUCUUUUGCUAAGGCCUCAUACCUUGUGAGGCCCUUGGAGUUCAUCCCUCUUUUUGGAAACAUCACACUACAUUUGGAGAUCCACUAGAUGGCAGCAAAGAGGUAUAGACACCUCUAACAAGCAUCAUCUAGGAGGUAUCUGGAGUUUUGUAACUCAGGAAUGGUACCGAAACUGAUGAAAUGCCUCCCUGAUUGCCCACACACCUAACAAACAGUUGGAUAUUAUUAUUCAGACAAAUGAAGCACAUUUAAAACAGUUUCAUUCUUCCAUACCCAGACCAUCAUCAAAAGGAUACAUUUAUGCUGUGGAUGUGUUAAAAUUCUCCUUGAAUCCUGAAAUAUUGUCAAAUUGAGGUGUUAGUUUUUCUUCUUUUGAGGGUGGGGUGGGGGAGCUAUUGGUGAUGUCUUUUCCAUGAUGGUCUGAGGGAUGUCCCCAUAAGAUGAGGCAACAGAUGGGGUUUCUCCCUCUUCUUCUCCCCCUCCCUCUUUUAAAAAUGUGAUUGUUCCAUUGAUUUUGCAAUGAUGUCAUUGAAUGGACUGAAGCUGGAAGGUUCUGCUGCUAUUACUGCAGAGGUCUCAGAGCCAAGGAGAUUCCUCUAAUGUGACGGGAUGGUGUGUGCCUUCAUUUCAAGCACAUAUUCUCCAACUCAGUGUCUCCAGAUGCGUUGAACUACAACUUCCAGGAUCAAGUAGAGCGCUUGACAUUUGGGAAGGCUGAGCUAGACGUACUCCAGUUGCUAAUCCCAUAGCUCCACUUGUGUGUUUUUCUAAUUGCCUGAGAAUAUAUUACUAUUUUGAUCAGAAUGACUGUAAAAUAAAUUAAAGGAAUGAAAUGAGAGAAUC